rnacentral:rRNA from 1 species
UACAGAGGUGGCAAGCGUUGUUCGGAAUUACUGGGCGUAAAGGGCGCGUAGGCGGCCUUCUAAGUCAGACGUGAAAUCCCCCGGCUUAACCUGGGAACUGCGUCUGAUACUGGGAGGCUAGAGUAUGGGAGAGGAAGGUAGAAUUCCAGGUGUAGCGGUGAAAUGCGUAGAUAUCUGGAGGAACACCGGUGGCGAAGGCGGCAUCCUGGACCAACACUGACGCUGAGGAGCGAAAGCCAGGGGAGCAAACGGG